AAUCCGGUUUGAGAUCGGUAAUAGUAUGUUAUUGUAUCGAUAAAGACUCACGUCAUUGUCAUGAAGGCGGUGAGAGUUAACGGCGAUAUUGGCCAUGCUGUUGGUGUUGUUAGUACCCCACCGACCACCCCUGUUGUGCCUAUGGUGGGGAAGAUUGUGGUGUCGUGUAGUAAGUGUCGUAUAGUAAUGUGUGGGACAGUGAACGAUGUGUUAGUUAGUUAGCGGCGGUUGAACUCUCUUGACUCGUAUCUGUUGCGCUUCUGUUGACGGCGGCUGAUCACCAUAGUUGUCUGUCUCCGAGUAUCGAAUUUCUUCGAACCGGUACGUUUCAAUCCAAUUAUCCAAUUAUAUUACAGUUGGUCAUAACACAGUGUCAUACAACCGAUGACCAGCGUAAUACAUUGCUGAGCAGCUUUGUGAUUGAAGGCCUGUUGCCCGAAAAUUUCGGUAAGCGGUCCGACGCAUAUCACAUAUUAUGCUAAUCAAGACAUCGACCACGGUUACCGGAUAGGCUGUCCAGUGGCCGGAAGCGGCGUCGUCCACGGCCCGGUGGAUCAAGCGGAGCGAGCGCGCCUUCGCGUUUGUCGCGAAACCCGCGAACAGCGCGCUCGUCAUAUCGCCGCCGUCUCGACCAUCGCCGCCUCGCCGGGUGGCGCGUGCGCCCGAAAAACAGCCACCUUACGGCCCACAAAUUUUGCAGCAUCCGAUCCAACGGGCCUACGACUAUACGAUUAACAUUGCCUCCGUAACGCGAUUCUCAUCUCAACGUCGAUCGCGUUGCGCUCGCCCCGUACAAAACACACACACACAUAUAUAUAUAUAUAUAUAUAUCAAUCACGCCGUCUUCGCGUUCUAUACACCAAACAGAAUGCCGCCUCUCCAGCAGCCCGCGAUGCAGAACGAUUAUUUGUACCAAACGCCAUACUGGAAGACUUCCGAAGCGUAUACCGAGGCCGCCCAGAAAUAUUUUGGCCGGUAUUUCUUGAUCUUCGAUUUUAUCCUGACCGUCGUAGUGUACGUUAUAUUGCUCGCGAUAGGGUACGUGGUCGUCGUACCGGUGCUCAUCGCCUUCUAUACCGUGACACGCCACAUGGUCGUCGAUCUAGUGUUCCUGAUCGGCUCCAUCUAUUCGCACCUGUGCGAUGGACUGUGCUUUCUGAUGUUCCACUGCCACGUGACGUUCAUCAGCGUGUUCGUCGCGGUCGCGAUGACAUGGUUCGUCUUGGCCGUGUUCAUUUCUUUCAGCGAACACGACCGCCUACUACUUCUGCUCACACUACACGACGACGAAUUUAUCGUUUAGAAAAACGUUGCGUUAUCGUUCCACAAAAACAAAAUAACAAUAAACGUAAACGUAUAAGUAGGCGGGCAAAGCGAAUCCCCGAUCGGACUGUCUUGCAACUCGCGCCGGACGUUCGCCGUCUGGUCGCAAUUUGUUCGCACGGUUUUCGACCGGGGACAGCAGCUCACCCGCAGUAGUUUGUAGUUUUUUAUAGUUUAAUAUUAUUAUUCGAUAGUGUUAGUUGACGUUUUAAUCGUUAUUUCGGGAUGUAUGGAUACGUUGUUUUAACGUCGCGCAGGUACGACCUGCAUCCACCCCCCCCCCCCCCCCCCGAAAAACUUUUCCUCUCAAUGACGAUUUUCGUUAAACCCUUUUUCAAAAACAAACACGAUUCUUUUUAAUAACCAUAUAGUAUUAUAUAGCUAUAUAGCUGCUGAGAUUACAGAAAUUUAUAUUUUGUAAAUUUAUUCCGAUCACCCCACUCUCCCUUACACUUUAAAUUACAAAAAACGAUUAUUAACGUCACACUUAGUUAUUUACGAUGCCCGCGCUAAAGGGGCGAUUUAAUUUUAAUAGCUGAUUUACAUAAUAUUACAUCGAACAUUUACGGCUUAUUUUCAUAACAUUAUUUUAUCCGUAUUUACGAUCUAUUAAUCGACCAUAAUUUAUACACGCACGAUUACAUUAUAUUUAUAGUUUAUACCUAUAUCAAAAUUAUACCCAAUUCUUGUUCUACACCCGUUGAUCACAUAUUUUAAGUCGUUAACUUUAUAUUAUAUACAAUAAUAUAUACAUUAAAAGCAGUUUGAAUUUUUAUAUUAUAUAUAUAAAUUAUAAAUCGUUAAAGUUCUAUGUUAAUAAACAUGUGUUCAUUAUAUACUUGAUGUACAAAUAUCACUCAACGCGACGAUUUAUUUAGUCGUUCGGGUCACGUUUAGUCAGUACAAAUAAUAUUUCACUGUAAAUUAAUAAUUAAAGAUUAAUACUGUAAACAAUAUUUUUUUUUUUAUCUGAAAAAUUUGUUCAAGACUAAAAAUAUGUCAUCAUAUUAUGUUAUCCGCGUACGAAAUUCAUUUAACAAUAAUUUAUAAUUUGUAUUAAUGUGUUCUUUUUUUUUUUUUCUGAAAAAUUUGUUCAAGACUAAAUGUCAAUUUUU